rnacentral:rRNA from 1 species
AAUAGAUACCCUGGUAGUCCACGCCGUAAACGAUGAGUGCUAAGUGUUAGAGGGUUUCCGCCCUUUAGUGCUGCAGCUAACGCAUUAAGCACUCCGCCUGGGGAGUACGGUCGCAAGACUGAAACUCAAAGGAAUUGACGGGGGGCCCGCACAAGCGGUGGAGCAUGUGGUUUAAUUCGAAGCAACGCGAAGAACCUUACCAGGUCUUGACAUCCCACUGACCGGUAUAGAGAUAUACCUUUCCCUUCGGGGACAGUGGUGACAGGUGGUGCAUGGUUGUCGUCAGCUCGUGUCGUGAGAUGUUGGGUUAAGUCCCGCAACGAGCGCAACCCUUGAUCUUAGUUGCCAGCAUUUAGUUGGGCACUCUAAGGUGACUGCCGGUGACAAACCGGAGGAAGGUGGGGAUGACGUCAAAUCAUCAUGCCCCUUAUGACCUGGGCUACACACGUGCUACAAUGGAUGGUACAAAGGGCUGCAAGACUGCGAAGUCAAGCCAAUCCCAUAAAACCAUUCUCAGUUCGGAUUGCAGG